CAGUAGCCACGGGAAUACGGAGGAUCCAAGCGUUAUCCGGAAUCAUUGGGUUUAAAGGGUCCGUAGGCGGUCUUGUAAGUCAGUGGUGAAAGCCCAUCGCUCAACGGUGGAACGGCCAUUGAUACUGCAGGACUUGAAUUAUUGGGAAGUAACUAGAAUACGUAGUGUAGCGGUGAAAUGCUUAGAGAUUACAUGGAAUACCAAUUGCGAAGGCAGGUUACUACCAAUUGAUUGACGCUGAGGUACGAAAGCAUGGGGAGCAAACAGGAUUAGAUACCCGCGUAGUCCCUGUCUCUUAUAC
rnacentral:rRNA from 1 species